UAAAAACCUCAAGAAGAAGAAGAAGUAGGCCUUUCUUCCAUUUCCUCCAACCUAGAGCAUGAAGUGUGAUGGCUGGUAAACAAACAUUAAGGCACUUUGUGAGAAUUUAAGUGAAAUCAAAACUGAACUCGAUUCUAUACCGAAGGAAAAUAACAUUGAAGCAGCCCAACGGAAAACAUGCACCAUAUAGAACACAAAGGUAGGGGACUCUCGGGGGGGGCUUUAGGAACCCGAAGUCGGCCCACUAAUCCAGGCAUCGAUAGUCUGAGAGGUGCCCCUUGACCCUGGAGGCCAGGAGGUGAGCUGGAUUGGUUUGCUACCCCUGCUGAAUCCAUGUGUUCUCAUUCCGUCCGUCUGUCUCAAACCCAAUAUAUAUCUAGACGCAACAUAUACUGUAUAUGCUGAUUGGAUAAAAAAUGACAACAAUUCAUGUUCACCUACACACACACAAACAAGGUCCACCGUAGGUCCAAUCAGACAAUCUUUUCAAAGCAGCAGAGCACCUUUCAGAAUUCCCCAUUUGGUAUCAUUUAUCAGCGUGAA